rnacentral:rRNA from 1 species
UACGUAUGGUGCAAGCGUUAUCCGGAUUUACUGGGUGUAAAGGGAGCGCAGGCGGCGCGUUAAGCCUGGUGUGAAAGCCCGCGGCCCAACCGCGGGACUGCAUUGGGAACUGGCGCGCUGGAGUGCCGGAGGGGUAGGCGGAAUUCCUAGUGUAGCAGUGAAAUGCGUAGAUAUUAGGAGGAACACCAGUGGCGAAGGCGGCCUACUGGACGGUGACUGACGCUGAGGCUCGAAAGCGUGGGGAGCAAACAGG